CACGUAGGGCGCAAGCGUUGUCCGGAAUUAUUGGGCGUAAAGAGCUCGUAGGUGGUUUGUUACGUCUGCUGUGAAAACCUAGGGCUUAACCCUGGGCUUGCAGUGGAUACGGGCAGACUAGAGGUAGGUAGGGGAGGAUGGAAUUCCUGGUGUAGCGGUGAAAUGCGCAGAUAUCAGGAGGAACACCGGUGGCGAAGGCGGGUCUCUGGGCCGAUACUGACGCUGAGGAGCGAAAGCGUGGGGAGCGAACAGG
rnacentral:rRNA from 1 species